rnacentral:rRNA from 1 species
UACGUAGGGUGCAAGCGUUGUCCGGAAUUAUUGGGCGUAAAGAGCUUGUAGGCGGUUUGUCGCGUCUGCUGUGAAAUUUCGGGGCUCAACCCCGAACUUGCAGGUGGAUACGGGCAGACUAGAGUGUGGUAGGGGAGACUGGAAUUCCUGGUGUAGCGGUGAAAUGCGCAGAUAUCAGGAGGAACACCGAUGGCGAAGGCAGGUCUCUGGGCCACUACUGACGCUGAGAAGCGAAAGCAUGGGGAGCGAACAGG